UUAGGCAUCGGAGGGUCAAGAAUCGAAGGAUCUCCAUCCGAUUUUUGACUGAUUUUGUAGGAUUCCUCAAAGGUGAGUCAGAUCAAAUUGCUACACCCACUCCAGUCCAACUUCAUCUGAUCCUCCUCUGUUCCAAAUUUUGAGCCUUGCAGCAACAAGAUAGUUGAAACAAAUUCAUCAUUGCAUAUUGUUAUAAUAUUAAUAGUAUUUAUAAGUAAUUUAGAAACUCAGAUUUAUUUUAUUUAUACAUAAACUGAACAAUAUUUUAUUUAUAGUUCUGAUUAGUCUGGUCAAAAACAAACAAAGUAGGCAAAGCUCAAACUCUGCUUGAAAUUAAUUCUCGUAGCCUUCAUCAACCUGCGCACGAGCUGCUUACCAAUGACAAAUGCGACCCCGACUCUUAAAUAUUAACAU
rnacentral:lncRNA from 1 species